rnacentral:rRNA from 1 species
UACGUAGGGGGCUAGCGUUGUCCGGAAUCAUUGGGCGUAAAGAGCGUGUAGGCGGUCCGGUAAGUCCGCUGUGAAAGUCGGGGGCUCAACCCUCGAAUGCCGGUGGAUACUGUCGGGCUAGAGUGCGGAAGAGGCGAGUGGAAUUCCUGGUGUAGCGGUGAAAUGACGCAGAGUAUCAGGAGGAACACCUAUUGCGAAGGCAGCUCGCUGGGACGUAACUGACGCUGAGACGCGAAAGCGUGGGGAGCGAACAGG